rnacentral:lncRNA from 1 species
GUAAGACACCCAAAUGCAGAAGUUUGAUGUCGUUCUCACUCUUCUUUUUCUCUCGGUUCCCUCAUUCCCCACUAUAGAAAAAUCUAUCAUCACUCUUUCAUUCUCUCUUUUUCGUUCUCGCCCAAAGCUCUAAUCUUCCAUCGCCCAUGCUUCAGUAGUUCUCCAUUGCAGCCAAUAUCCACCAGUAUUGUUCUCCAUCACACCAUAUCAGCAUGGGUUGGUCAAAGAUGUUGGCUUCUCAACAUUUCCAUCAACAAACAAGUUUCCACAUGGAUUUUGAUGAAGCUAGGUUUAACAAAUAUGGAUUUGACAAAUCAAUUAUUUGAGUAGUUUGCUUUGGAAAUCUCCAUAUGGGUGUAAUGAAUCCGGUUUCAAUUGCUUUUUUAUUUUUUUAGGAAUCUGGAUUUGUUUAAUCUAUGAUCUCUCUCCCAUGUAGUAAUCUCCAUGAAUAUGGGUUUGACUGAGAUUUAGAUACAAUCAAUUUUUUAUGGAUUUGAUUGAAAUAUAAAAAUAUUUGAUAUUAUAUUGGAUUUGGGUAGAUCCAGUAUUCUAUUUUUUCUUUUUGUUCUUCCCUCUUAAUAACGAUGCUUGGUUUGAUUGCUAAAAAAAUGCUAGAGUGAGAAAAAUGUGUGUGAAUCUUUGUAGUCUGCAA